GCAAACUUGGUCAUUUAGAGGAAGUAAAAGUCGUAACAAGGUUUCCGUAGGUGAACCUGCGGAAGGAUCAUUAUCGAGUUAGGGUCUUCGAGGCCCGACCUCCAACCCUUUGUCUACCCGACUACAUGUUGCUUCGGCGAGCCUGCCCUUCGAAAGAAGGGCUGCUGGGGGUAGUUAAAUACCUCUGGACCGUGCUCGUCGAUAGCCAUUUAUUAAACUCUUGAUAAACUGUGUCGUCUAAAACUUUUACUUGAAUUAAAGCAAAACUUUCAACAACGGAUCUCUUGGUUCUGGCAUCGAUGAAGAACGCAGC
rnacentral:misc_RNA from 1 species